rnacentral:lncRNA from 10 species
GUCAGAUAAGCAUCCUUUAAAAAAAAGAAAAAAGAAAAGAAAGAAAAGAAAUCCAUCUAGUUUCUGACGAAUUAACAGGUGUACACCACACUCUAGGAUUAUCACCACGAGGUGUAUAAGAUCCCAGAAUUCAGCAACGAUGUUAAUGGGGAGGCCAAAGAGACACAGCCCAUUUUUUUAGGUGUAUUGUCAGCCUUUGGAGACUUUUGCUGUGUGUUUCAUAGAAU